rnacentral:rRNA from 1 species
AUGAACGCUAGCUACAGGCUUAACACAUGCAAGUCGAGGGGCAGCAUGAAGAUGUGCUUGCACAACUUUGAUGGCGACCGGCGCACGGGUGAGUAACGCGUAUCCAACCUUCCCUAUAGUAGAGAAUAGCCCGGCGAAAGUCGGAUUAAUGCUCUAUGUUCUUCUCUGAUGGCAUCUGACGAGAAGCAAAGGUUCACCGCUAUAGGAUGGGGAUGCGUCUGAUUAGGUAGUCGGCGGGGUAACGGCCCACCGAGCCAACGAUCAGUAGGGGUUCUGAGAGGAAGGUCCCCCACAUUGGUACUGAGACACGGACCAAACUCCUACGGGAGGCAGCAGUGAGGAAUAUUGGUCAAUGGGCGAGAGCCUGAACCAGCCAAGUAGCGUGCCAGGAGGACUGCCCUAUGGGUUGUAAACUGCUUUUAUGCGGGAAUAAAGUCCACUACGUGUAGUGGUUUGUAUGUACCGCAUGAAUAAGGACCGGCUAAUUCCGUGCCAGCCGCCGC